AUCACAAGAACACACAAUUAACUCCCGGGGACACCAACAGGCAACAUGCCCCUUUAUUUUUGACUUUUCAGGAAGGUCUGCCUUGUGAUCACCAACCAGUGGUGGCAUCUCCCAGUCCAAUGUCUCUCCCCACCUUAUCUUCCUGUGCAGAGGCCACACUACACUGGUGUCCUCCUGACUAACACAAAUGUUCUACAUGGUUACCCCUAUUGGCAGCCCUGGUCUGUACUAGAGAGCCAGGGAGUAAGUGGAGACUUAUCCACACAACGCUCCUCCCUCCCAUCCUUCCCAGGACCUGAACAACAGGACUGGCCAAGAGUGAAAGGGAGCACACUUUAAGUAGACACAGUCUCUCAGAGCUUGAGGAGGUAUUGUAUCCCAGAAGCAUACCACCUCCUUCUUGUCCCGCAGGUGCACUAUGAUUCCACACCUGUUACAUUUACAGGUAGCUCCAUGCCUCAAUACACAACAGUUGCGGGCAAGAACGUAAGAGUUUCCUUUUCCAAUUGAAAUUCCAGGGUGAAUUGAAGUAAACAGGAUGUAACUAGCCAAGAAGCUUGGCAGGAACAUCAGCAUUAACAGCCUAUUUUUUAAAGGCUGCUCUCAGACUUUGAAGUCAGCACUUCAGUUCUUUUACAGCACCUGCAGCAGCACAGUGUCAGCUAACAUGUUGGUCUUCAGUCCUGACUGAAUGAGAAGGCAGCAUGGCACCCAAUCCGGAUUGCCAGUACCACUUCCUGCCGCCACCUAAGUAUUCUUUAAAGGGAAAUGGAACUAGACACUAAUCUUCUACUGUUGAAUUCUUUAUCAAUCAUGUAACAGCAGCAGCAGCUAGAGAAUAUAGCAUCCCUGAGUAUGCUCAGCAGAAUACUGCAUAUGAUUUCUGAGGAAGGCUGCAUGAAAUAUCUCCUCCCAGUCUUUGGCUGCAAGGCAAGUUUGAGCAUUGUAUUUCUUUCCAGGAACAAAGGGAGGAGGACUGUGAACAACACGUACAGUACAUGCUAAAAAAGGCGUUACAAUUUUUGUAGCAGACUGAAGUUUGCCACUUUGUCUGGCUUUUCUCAGUUAUUAUGACUACAAGUGUUUCAAUUAAAAUGACGACAUAUAUAUUAAAGUCAACAUUUUGAUUUCUUCCAGUAUAGGAAAGCUGAAAAAACAAGAUUUGAAUGAAUUUCUGAUAAUAAUAAAAACAACAGUGAACUUAGUCUCUGAAUCACAUGAGCAGAAGUUUUAUUAAAACAAGAUGGUAAAUAUCUCAUAUGUUUGACCCAGAGGUCACAGUACAAGUCUAAUUUGCUAAUCUAUUUAGCCAUGAAUCUGAAUGUCCUAAUCCUGUGCAAAAUUCCAAGACAUCUAGUUAGAAAAUAAUAGAUGGUUACACUUUGAGAUACAGGAUGUUGUUUAAUUCCUAUCUAAUAGUUAUGGUAUCAAGGCUAAAGAACUACAGAAGGAACUAAGUAGUAAUCCCCUUCCUUUCUAAAGGCAUACUUUACAAGUUUUGUUACACUGAUAUUACAUAAUUGUUCUGUAAUAGCUGGCCCAGUGAGGAUGUGGAGGAUGGUUAAUGUAUCUUAGAGUCAGAAUUCAAAAUCACACUGCUGCUGUGAUCAAUAAAUACACAGAGCCAGAUACUCAUGGCAGAUAUGCCAGUUGAAAUCCAAAGUAAUUUCAUUGGCUCCAGUGGAAUUUUUUCGUUUUUUAAUGAAAUAAUAGAGAUUAUAAUCUGGUCUCAGUUUGGUGUGUUGCUAAUAGAUUUAGUAAAAACCAGACAGUCCUGUUUAUCAUCUCAAUGUUCAUCCACUUAGUUUGUGUCCUUCUCAAAAUCUUAUCAUCCAACAUUUCUCUUAUCAGUGACAGAAAUGUAUUACAGGUUUCUAAAGCAAAAAAUCAGUAGUUAGGGCAGACAUCCCCUUUUAGUAGAAAAGCCAGGCAUGGUUAUCAAGGGCCUGAUUCUCAAGGCUUGCUUUUGUGUGUGCACAUUUAUACAUACACAAUACAGGAAGAGAACACACACUCCACGGAUGGGUACGCAGCUGGAUAGGCACCUAUCCACUAGUGUACACAUUAAGUUACUGUUACCCACGAGCGUACUGGCAAUCAAAAUAGGCCCGGGAAAUGGGUUGAGAACGGCCCUCCCCAUGACAUCACCCCUGCAUGCCCCUUGAGCCCCGCCCUCUGCGUCAUGUCCGGCACGCGGUGCAGGCAGCGGGUCGGGCUCUGUGUGCCACAUACAGCAUGGACGUGGAGCCGCUCAGAGUGAGGGGUAACAGCAUGUGGACACGAUGGCCCACCGGACCAACGGCCCACCAGGAAAUUCCCGGUAUCCCGACAGGCCAGUCCACCUCCUGCUGUUACCUACCUACCUACCUACCUGCUGAAAAGUAGUCCCUAAAAUAUAUACUAUUAUAGCCAGCACCUGCACAAAAAGAUCCCAGUAAAAUAGGCAAGAAAACAGUUUUACUGAUCACAUUGACUGUUUUUGAUAAAAGUAAUGUGUGGAAAUCCCCAGAAUGAAGACAGCAGUUAGAAUCCAAUGUUCUGAAAGCUGUGACAUAGAUUGUACUAUUGAAAGCACAUAUAUAUUUGUCAUGAGCACCUACUUUCAGCCAACUCAAGUUUUACAGUAUUGAAUUUGGAUCAAAACUUAGUCACCCUGUAUGCAUAAGAGUAGACAAGGUAGAGGUGGAAUAUGAGGCAGAAGUUUUCUUUUAAGCAUGGUUCCUCCACCAUUUUAAUCUCCCCAAAACACAUGCAAAGAGGUCAAUCUCCAGGCUGUCCAAGCAUGAUAAUGUGUGAAUAAGGGACAUCAGGUUAUAGUCUGCAUAUCUAUCUAUAUAUGACUUCUAACCCGAGAGUAGUAACAUCCUUCAAGAGAAGAAUAAUUUGCUUGGGGACGUGUACGUAAAACUUCACAUUUAUGUUGCUUUUGCAAUGCAUUUUAAAUAAAUAAAUACAUUUUAACUUCCAACCAUUAGACCUAUCCCACUGUCACCAGUUGCCAAAAUUCUAGGAUCAGAACUUAGCCAAAAAUGGCUCUGAUUCAAAGAGAUGAGAUGGAUGCCAACUUGCUCUUCUAUAGUUCUAUGUACACAAUGUAAUGACAUUUGGGUUUGGCGUCCUUCACUUUGUCAGGAAUUUUUAGCACACAUGUCAUACAGACCUUAAAGGAGGCUCAAUCAUGAUCUGUUGGCUAAUCUCUGGACUUUUUUUCAUGACUUACCUCCAUGCUGACCCCUUUUACAUACUGACUUCUUUAGUUAAAUGGAUGUUAACUUACUGGGGGCAGGUGUGCAUCAGAUGCCCAUUGUCAUAAAGGCAACUGAAACUGCUUUGGCAGGCAGAUACAUCUAUAGAGAGCCCAGUAAAAGGUGGAGUAGAAGCUGUUGCUCCACACCUAUGUUACCUAGUGAGUCUCCCAGGUAGAAUUACUUUUUUUAAGCCAAUUCUUCUGAUUUAGGUGUUCUUUGUCUGAGUGGACUGCUGCAAAGCAGUCUCAACAAGGCCAAGACGAGACCAGUGUUCCUAACCCAGUUAUUUAAAUCUGUAUGGACUUUUAUAUUUAUUUUUAAAAUAAAUGCUGAUUUUUAUUCUUUUUCUAUUUAAAAAUAACUCUGCUCCAGCAGACUGAGAUCCCUGGGUAAUCAGCCAGUAACAAAUGGCCAAACACUUGAAGAGGAGAGCAUAAAUGGAGAGGAAAUUCUGUUUCGAAAGUCUAGGAAUUAUAAGAAAUGGAAAAAAAGGCAAAAAUAAUUUUAAAUUCUCUGUAAAA